GUAUUUUGAAUUAUUUUAUUCAUAAUAUUUUUCAGACAAAGAGUUAAAAAAUUAGGUUGAUGUUUGGCCGAUCUCCAUAAAGAAGAUCGACUGACAUUGCACACAAGGUGGAUAUGGAUUUAAAAAGUGCCGUAAAACACUUAUUAUGAAUGAUCCUUCCGCAGGUUCACCUACGGAAA
rnacentral:misc_RNA from 1 species